rnacentral:rRNA from 1 species
UGCGUAGGCGGUCGGGUAAGUCUGACGUGAAAGCUCGCGGCUCAACCGCGAAACGGCGUCGGAUACUAUUCGGCUCGAGGAGUGGAGGGGAGACUGGAAUUCUCGGUGUAGCAGUGAAAUGCGUAGAUAUCGAGAGGAACACCAGUGGCGAAGGCGAGUCUCUGGACACUUCCUGACGCUGAGGCACGAAAGGCCAGGGGAGGCAAACG